CCAAAAUGCAAGCCUGGAUCUCAUAGGACACUGCAUUAGGUGCCAAAAGACUCCUCCGGGGAUUGGCUUGCCACGCUCCACAUCCUCACACUCUGCUGGGAUUGCAACUGUCUGCCCGGCCCCAGCUGGUGGCCCUGCACUGGGAAGGAGUCAGGGGCUGUGGAAGAAUGAGAACAAAUCAAAGAAAACAGACUGAUUAAACUGGAGGAAGAAAGAAAUUUCCUCAGGAGAAAGGAUCCUUUCCAUCUGGACAACUGACAGGAGAUAAGAGAAAGACGAUAGGACCAUCUCAGCCUGAAUGGUGACACUUGUAACUUCUCAUAUUCCACGGCAAGAACUAGUCUUUUGGUCCUACCUAGAUGCAGACUCUACCACAUACAUCAACAAACAUUUCCUGAGUGCUAAUAUGUGCUGAGGCCUGCCCUGAUGCAAGGGAUACAGAAAUGAACAAAACAUAGUUCCAGUCUUUUCAGAGCUUUUAAUAGCACAGUUUUUCAUCUGGAUUCCAGAACCCCUAUCUAUACAUGUGGCUUCAAUGGGGAAGAUUGCUCAGUCCUUAUGCCAUCCUCUGGGUCUUGAUAUGUUUGCUUGACUGUACCUUGGCCCACCAGGUCCCUGGGUGUCCUGAAAUGGUCUGUGCGGAAUUGAGACUGUCACAUGGGCCAUUUGAGCAUCACUUUGGCGCUCUUGCAGAUGCAUGGCCUCCAGGUGCAAGGUGGUACAAUCACUUCAUCACUAUCAAAGGCCUCCUGUGUUCCUCCCAGCACUUCUAUGUCAUCUACUACUUAGAGAUCUUGGAAUUCACAGUUGCAUUCUCUGCAUCAUUCUGAUGUGCUAGAUCCAAUGAAGUUGUCAAGCCCAAUUGCCUAGGCCACCUGCCUUCAUCUUUGUUACUCAACCAUUCCCACAUCAUGGUGGACAGGGUAAUGUUCAAUAUGGACUUCUCUGAGAGUCUUGUAGGCUCCCUCAGGCUACACCUUUAAAAGCCUUGAAUCCUCCAAAUUUAUCUGAGUAUUUAAAAACAGCCCCUUAGCUUUUAAACCUAUUGUCUCUCCAAAGAAUUGAAAAUAUCAGAUUUGAAAUUCAAAGCUGAGCAAUGACUUCUUGGUUGGAGACAGUAUUUCUUCUUUCCUUCCUUAGAGCAGUGAGCCUUGGUCACAUGACUUAGCCUUAAUGAGAAUAGACUGCAGGGAAAGAAAAAGGGAAAAAUCUAAUGGAAGUCAUUACAAAAGCAUUAUUUGCCUAUAGAGGCAGAAGAGAGAGUUGGAGUCAAGUGUGUGAAUGAGUGUGGAAGGAGAGAGAAAAGAAAGAAGAAAGGGAUGAGGACUGAGUUGGAAGCACCUACAGUCAGGAGCAGGAGAGAAAGAGGAAAUAGAGCAGACUGAAAAAACAGUGAUCGAGACAGGAGGAGAACCAAGCUCUCAGAGUCCCCAAAUCCAAGAGAAAGAGAAGAUUUCCCAAGGGAGAGAUGAGCAGUAAAGCAAAACAUUAAAGAGAUAAGGAGAAUGCAUAUCUAAAGGGGGCCCAGAGUCUGACAAGUCCAAAGUAACUGGUAACAACUGACAGGUGUGAGUUAGGGGUAGGAUUUGGAUUAGGGUCCAGAGAUCAUCCAGUUAAGAACGUCAUAGUAGAAUAUUGCUUUCUUAGUCUAUUCCUGUGUGUGCCAAAAGUCUGAACAAACCAGAAUGGAUCUUUUUAAAAAUAGAUGUAUCAGAAAGACUGGCUAUUUAUUUUUGUUAUUAUCCCUAUGUAAAUAUUACUCAUCAUUAAUUUCAUAUUUAUCCCUAAAUAACCAAACUAGUAUACGGCCACGCUCCUAAAGUAUAUCCUUUUUAUGUGUGCAAAAGUCAUUCUCAAUCAUUGUUUUCUGUGCAUGUUACAUAAUUCUCCAUUUAAAACAUACCAAAGUUAUUGGGAUUUCAGAAGAUGGUCAUCUUAGUCCCUACUAUAAAACUCCAAGCUGGAAGAAUUUCUUAUUGUUCUAAUGAGCAUACUAAAUAUAAGAAACAACUCUUUUGUUGUCUCAAGAAUUGCUAAGCUUUAAGUAAGGGACAGACGUCAGUUUGGGGAUCAAAUGAAGGCCCAUGCUACAAAACAUUGCGUCAAUUCCAAAAGGAACUAAUGAGAAAGAAGAUUAAAUAUCACGAGUAUCUAAAGUUCAUUUCAGUGGAUACUCAAGGAAUUGGAUUUAUACCCUUGUCUUUGAUUCAGAGUUCUUGUCUCCCAAAUAAAAACAGUGAAGCUGUUUUUUCCUUGAAAUGAAGGAUGGUCCAACAACCGGUUUUGUUUGUUUGCUUGCUUGUUUGUUUGUUUUCAUAACAUGUUUGAGUAAUUCUUCAUAUUAAAGCCAUCUGGAUUUCCUCUUUUUUCUGAACUCUGCUUCUCUUUCC
ensembl:lncRNA